rnacentral:rRNA from 1 species
GUCAAUUCAUUUGAGUUUUAACCUUGCGGUCGUACUCCCCAGGCGGUGUGUUUAUCGCUUUCGCUGCGACACUGAAAAUAAAUUUCCAACGUCUAACACACAUCGUUUACGGCAUGGACUACGAGGGUAUCUAAUCCUCUUCGCUACCCAUGCUUUCGUUCCUCAGUGUCAGUAAUGAUCCAGAAAGCUGCCUUCGCAAUUGGUAUUCUUUCUAAUAUCUACGAAUUCCACCUCUACACUUGGAAUUCCACUUACCUCUCUCGAACUCAAGACUAGCAGUAUUAAAGGCAGUUCCAGGGUUGAGCCCUGGGAUUUCACCUCUAACUUACUAAUCCGCCUACGUGCGCUUUACGCCCAGUAAUUCCGAACAACGCUAACCCCCUCCGUAUUACCGCGGCUGCUGGCACGGAGUUAGCCGGGGUUUCUUUACCAGAUACUGUCAUUAUCAUCUCUGGCGAAAGUGCUUUACGACCCUAAGGCCUUCAUCACACACGCGGCAUGGCUAGAUCAGGGUUUCCCCCAUUGUCUAAGAUUCCCUACUGCUGCCUCCCGUAGGAGUCUGGGCCGUGUCUCAGUCCCAGUGUGGCUGAUCAUCCUCUCAAACCAGCUAUAGAUCGUAGGCUUGGUAGGCCAUUACCCCACCAACUACCUAAUCUAACGCGGGCUAAUCCUUCUCCGAUAAAUCUUUCCCCCGAAGGGCGUAUAAGGUAUUACUCUCCGUUUCCAGAGGCUACUCCUUAGAGAAGGGCAUAUUCCCACGCGUUACUCACCCGUCCGCCGCUCAUCCCGAAGGAUGCGCUCGACUUGCAUGUAUUAGGCCUGCCGCCAGCGUUCGUUCUGAGCCAGGAUCAAACUCU